AGUGAACGCUGGCGGUAGGCCUAACACAUGCAAGUCGAACGGCAGCACAGUAAGAGCUUGCUCUUACGGGUGGCGAGUGGCGGACGGGUGAGGAAUACAUCGGAAUCUACUUUUUCGUGGGGGAUAACGUAGGGAAACUUACGCUAAUACCGCAUACGAUCUACGGGUGAAAGCAGGGGAUCUUCGGACCUUGCGCGAUUGAAUGAGCCGAUGUCGGAUUAGCUAGUUGGCGGGGUAAGGGCCCACCAAGGCGACGAUCCGUAGCUGGUCUGAGGGGAUGAUCAGCCACCCUGGAACUGAGACACGGUCCAGACUCCUACGGGAGGCAGCAGUGGGAAAUAUUGGACAAGGGGCGCAAGCCUGAUCCAGCCAUACCGCGUGGGUGAAGAAGGCCUUCGGGUGGUAAAGCCCUUUUGUUGGGAAAGAAAAGCAGCAGGUUAAUACCCCGCUGUUCUGACGGUACCCAAAGAAUAAGCACCGGCUAACUUCGU
rnacentral:rRNA from 1 species